AAAACAAAAACAGAUUCGUGACACACAUAUAGCCUAAAACCAAAUAGGCAAAUAAAGAGUGGAACGCUUUUUCCUGGUAUCAUCUCAAUAAAUAAUUGAUCAUCAACACCUGGAGUUGCUCCAAUCCUGGUACUACUUAUCAACAAUUAUAUUAAAGUAUCCUUAGGCUAAAAUCCAUCUCCUUCCCUAAUAAGCAGAUUAUUUUCUCUCUCUGUUACCAAACUAGGGUCAGUAAGUUCAGGAUUGGCUUUUGCCUCCACAUUCCCAUACCACAUCCCUGACAGCAAGAAAGGGUGCUGUGAUUGAUUAGAGAUGUGCAAGCUAUAACUCUUUGAAAGCAUUCUCCACAUGGCCCUCCAGGCAGCCAUGACCAAUCCACUGGACUGGCCACGGAGAUGCAAUCCCUUUGCCAUCAAACAAACAACAAACCAAACUGAGAGGAUGAGUUUUAAUGAAUGAGGUUAGCAAAUGCUUCUGCCGGGAGUAUCCAGAUAAUUAUAAAGUUCAAUUAAUUAUUUGCUGAACAUUUAGAAAAUCCAUAGCACUUUGCUAGGAAAGGCAAGAAAUGUUUUGAAAAAGUUAUGUCAUAGUGUAAGUCAAGCAUACCACAACCUGGAUGAGGAGGCAAGAUUAACAUGUAACCAUAAAAAAUGUGUUCUCUGUUACAUAGAUACAGAGAAAUGCUAAAGAAAUUCAAAACAGAUUGAAAUCAGCGAGGUCUGGAGUUAUGAGUAAAAUUUUCAUGGAUGAAACUUGAAAUGGAUUUUAAGCUGAAUAAGUUUUAACUAGAAAAGGGGUAAUUAGAAGAACAUUCCAAGCUACAAGGGAAAAAAAUCUAAUAAAAAUCAAGGAUGGGGACUUCCCUGGUGGUGCAGUGGUUAAGAAUCUGCCUGCCAAUUCAGGGGACAUGGGUUCGAUCCCUGGUCCGGGAAGAUCCCACAUGCUGCGGAGCAACUAAGUCCGUGUGCCACAACUGCUGAGCCUGUGUGCCACAACUACUGAGCCUGUGUGCCACAACUACUGAGCCUGUGUGCCACAACUACUGAAGCCCACGCACCUACAGCCCAUGCUCCACAACAGGAGAAGCCACUGCAAUGAGAGAAGCCCGUGCACCACAAUGAAGAGUAGCCCCCACUCGCUGCAACUAGAGAAAGUUCUCGCACAGCAACAAAGACCCAAGGAAGCCAUAAAUAAAUAAAUAAACAAAUAAGCCAUAAAAAAACCCCAAAACAAACACGGAUAUAGGACUAGGUAUGGAAUAGUCAUCAGAAAACAAAAAGACUAGAAUCAUUAGGAAGGAAGAAACAUGGCAGGACAUCAAACAGUAAGUGGGAAAUAAGAUAAAAUGGAUCUAAAAAUGCAAGACCAGAAACACAGACAGGCAUACUUAGAGUUGAUACAGGAAGCAAGGGACCCCUGAGAAUGCUUUCCAUUUCAAAUCAACUCAAGUUUUUAUAGGUAAACCCUGGUACGUGAAUUGGAUUCCUGGUUCUCCCACUUGUAAGCUCAAACAUUAACCUCUCUGCCUCAAUUUCUUUAUCUGUAAAACAGGGAUAGUAUUAUCACCAAGGUGGAGGAGGAAUAAAUGAGUUAAUAUUUGUAAAUUUCAAAGAAGAGUGUUGGACAAAUUUUAGGCACUAUAUGGAUGUGUUAAAUGCUUGGAAAGUAUGAUAUGGUCUACAGAAACAAGAAUAGAUUCUGAGAUGUACAGAGCAGAGCCUUGCCUGUGGUCCAUCAUCUUUUCUCUGACUUUUUUCCUAUUCCUCUUAAAAGUAGUGUCAAGGAAGUGUCCUCUGGCUGAGAGUAUGUGACUCCUGGGUGUGAAGACAUAAAUCAGGCUCCCAUGAGCAAUUUGGAGUACUGAGAAACAGAACACACCCAUGGUUUCACAGGACACUUUGUCUUAUGUUCUUGGAGAUGAAGGGGAGGCUUAAGCAAACAAACAACCAAAAUGACCUUGGAUUUCAUUGAACGUGGAAACGAAUUCUCACAUAUGUUCUCUUAAUUUCACACUCUCUGUGAGAUACCACCAUGCCAACCACAGAGGCUCAAGAGGUCAAAAAUUCCCUGUUUAUAUGGAAUCGUACAGUAUGUUUGCAUAAAUUGGCUCCCAGGAUAAUCCCUGAAUCCCUGAAUCCCUGAGAGGUGAGUGAGAGGGAUUCUCUCGUCCUAUUUUACAAAAAAAAAACCCUAAAAUUCAAGUUACAGGCAAGGCGUCAGGCCUGCCAUCUCCUACUCCAAAGCUCUUAUACUUAGCCAUUCUAUUCCUUAAACCUAGUUCUUCCCAAUGUUUUAAAUGUUAAGUGUGCUGCUUUCUCUUACUCCCAAAGAAAUUAUCUUAGGGACAGCACUCCCCAUCUUGGAGAUGUCUUCCUAUUUUGUCGUCCACCUAAAUGAAGCAGCUUAACCUUGAAAAUAAAGGGGGAGGAGAAAUAAGAAGAGGAGCUGAAUUCCAAAAGAUGCUGUUUUCCAAGACAAUGUGCAAUUGGAAAGCUUUAUAGACAGUCCUUUUAGGUCAUAGCUUAGAUAUCUCUUUUUAAAUUAAUGAAACUCGGUAGCUCCAAGAAUCUCUCUGGACACCUAGGAUUUAUCCCACAAGUUGUUAGCAAGUGGCAAUAUAUAAAAGACAAGAUCUAAUAUCCAAAAUGCUUGUAAUAGCAAAAUCCUUUCUGCCAAUUUUAAUAGCAUGAAAAUGACUGCACACGUCUAGUAAAUCUGCUGCCUUUCAACAGCUGGAAUCAGACCAGAUUCACCUUCUGUCUGCUGUAUGAAGCCAGAACUCUGAAGGCAAGGGGAAAAAAAUUAGCGCUGGUAUUAACUCUGACCUCCUGAUCUUCUAUUACCCCCGUUAGACUCAACUCAUGAAGCCCAAAUUUUCUAUCUGUCUAAAAAGUGACAGCUGGACAGCAGAACACAAGGGUAUCCAGAGCCUUGUAAAAUCACUGAGAUGAAAUUGCAGAGGAAUACAUCAGGUAGAUGACUUCUUUCUUAUGUACCUGAAAAAGAAAUCAGACUUCAUCAAAAGUAAUAUGUACAGAACUGAGACAAAUGUAGGAAGGGCCUUCCAGUGUGCUAGGAUGGAAACCAAAAUUAUCUAGAAUGGACUAGAAUUGUAGUGAACACCAAAGAGGAAAGACUGGAAUGAUAGUGAGCACCAAAGUAAGAACCAAGGUGAAGAAGAGAGAACAAUUUCUCAAGGAAGAAACUGGUCACACCAGAGAAGCUCCUUAAUUAUUCACCCUUGAGAAGUCCACAUUGAGGAAAUCAAGGAAAAACAGAGAUCUCAUUGGAAAUACAGUGAACUACACACAGAGGCAUCUGGGUGCUCAUCCUGAUGAAGCUAGUAAUUAACUUGAACAAGUCAUUUAAAUUAUCUAGUCCUUAGUUCCUCAGCUAUAAAGACGGUCCCCCUUCCAACUCUAUGGCUUUUUAUGCUGAAGAUUUAACAUCUAUGAAUUUCUAAUCUAACCUCUAGGAGCCGGAGAAUUGGAAGAGCUUUUGAAAUCAUUGAGUCCACUUCCUAUUAAGUUCUGGAAAGGACUUAAUAAGGGUAAUAAAGGGAGCAUGAAAUUUU